UCUCUCUGCCGAUAAAAAAGGCCAGCCCUCCCCUAGAAGGAGGCACCUGCAACAUCAAGUUUUAGUUCAGAGGCUACAUAAAGAUCAAGAUCAUCCUGAUCCCCGAGGCCCGGGCGCACGCGCGUCAUGUAAACAAAGUACAAACAUACUCCCACAGUCCCACAGCCUGCCCUACACGACCCCAGCAAACACACAAGAACAAGCUAUAGAGCUACAUCGUCGAUACCCUUACAACUACAAGCUAUAGCAAAUUUCUACAGAUAUUUUGUCAGAUUUGGUCAGAUUAUGCAUAAUUCAGUCUGGCAACACUGCCAAGGCAUCCAGUCUCCCAGCAAGUGCCAAGAGGCAUUCAUUCAAUGCUCCGCUGACACCAAUUUGCCCAAAGUGAGCUGAGGGUCGGUGAAGCGCACAAGUGGGUCAGCAUUCUCAUACCAGAACCGGUCACAGCAGCGGAGGUUCCUGAACUGAAUGCCGAGGAUGCAGCCGAACGUGGGACCGACCAGUCCACCGUGCAGCGGCGUCUCAAUCAAUCCACCAGUGAACAGAUCUAUGUCAUCCACGUGUGCGUACGUCCGUUUCAUUCGCUCGAUCACCGGCCUCGCUAUCUCCCUGUGCAGGUCAUCAAACGACCUCGCCCUGGUCAGGUUACAGAGGGCCCUGUACUCAUUGUAAGGCUGCAGUCCAUGGUCUCUGCCUCGCUGGAUGUUGAGGGCAGCCAGGUCCAGGCCAGAGAAUGGCUGCCGCUUGUCUUCAAAGAGAUGGUUGGUCACCUCAUCUGUCAAGAACUGGUCCAGUGUCUCCAUGGACACAGUAGUCAGGCCGCGGAUGAUCUCAUCAAGCAUCCCAGGCUGGUAGAGUAGGUCUGGGUUGAAGAAGUGUUCGCUCAGCUUGACAGGAGGGUUGCGCUUGGCAAAUAUUCCGUCCAUGCGCUCCAGGGAAGGCUUGAGUAGAGAGUGGCCAAAGC